GCUCCCAUGGCGUAGUGGUCACUGGACUCGCCUUGCACGCGGGAGACCCGGGUUCGAUUUCCGGCGGGGUCA
rfam:Asian citrus Psyllid, Diaphorina citri - Florida Strain, whole genome shotgun sequence.